UUUUUCAAAUUAAAUUGUGGACCUCUGUGUGUGUGUGUGUGUGUGUGUGUGUGUGUGUGUAUUGGGGAUUCAAUAAAAUUAUUGGGCGCGGGUCUAUUCGAGCGUUAACAAAUAUUAUUGUUCAUUUUGCUGUUAUUGUGAUUAUAAAUUUCGUAUGUGCUGCUUGUGUAAACAGCAACAACAACAGCACGACAAUGGCAGCAAUUUGGGGUGCAGCCAGUAAAUUAUUGUGCAGUCAGCCAGCCAACAGCCAACUGAUUGAUUUACAUUGUUGCAAUUGUCUGGCUUCCCUCGCCCAUCGGAUUCAGUGAGCAAUGAGAAUGGAUUUCCACUCGACCCCCGACCGGAACACACCCAAAUCGCAGAUAGAUUCCAAAUAGAUAGAUGUUCGUAUGUAUAGGAGUGAUAUUGAACAACUUUUGCCAUGGCAUCUGGGGCCAUAAACAAUAUGGGCACAUGCGAUUUACAUAUCAAUGAAGCGAUCGCUUUGGAAACAGGCCUCUAUCUUGUUCCAACUGAAUGGCUAAAUGUUUGACAAAUCGUGAAUCCAUUUGAUGAAUCACACUCAUACCUGCGACUUCUGGCAACCUCAUUCGCAAAACAAAUUCCGCCAAAACAUGGAUUGUCUAUCUGAUUGUGCGAUCGCUUAAGACUUAAGACCAGCAAAUUUCUUAUAAGUAGCACUUGGCUGGCGCUUAUGAAUUUCAUUCAUCCGCGGCCCCAGUGGAUCCCCGAUCCCAAAAUUGUUUUGCCCAAAAACCGGCAACUUCCGUUCGAAAGCGAUGGCUAACUGGCGAUUAGCGGAUCCGCUGCCUAAAGAUGCUUUAUAAUAAUAUCAAAUAUGCUGCGGCUGGGUUGGAAAAAUUAAAAAAAAAAAAACAAAAGAAGCGAGAAAACAUUAAAAAACGAACAUGGAAAUUAUUGUCGGUCUCUCCACUUGAGGCCGAUAAAAGUUUUUCGAUAGUGGCAGUGAAAAUGCCACAAACAGCUCAUUACAAGCGUCAAAACAAAUUUAUGCAAAUAGCAGCAGCCGCUGUGGCAGCAGCAGCAACAACAACAGGAACCACAAAUCGGAAAGAGUGACCAUAUAUACAUGCAUAUAUAGCCAGAGAUCGGGCCUUUAAGCCGAGUUCGCAGCGGUGGCAAUUAACAUUGCGCCGUGCGUUGAGCAUUAAUCAUUUUAAUCGCAAUUUAUGUGUCGUCGACGUCGUCAACACGAGCCGACACGACAGCAGCCGCAGCAGCAACAGCCGCAACAGCAGCAGCAACAGCAGCAGCAACGGCAGCAACACCAUCAUCAUCGCAAGAAUCAACUACGACUACUACAGUGAAGCCUAUGCUUGCAAAACACAGGUAGGCUUCGCUUUGCGCAUGAGGCAAUACAUUUUGUCAUUUAAAAACACAUUUUUCAAAAUUAAUUUUGCCACUCAUAAAAAUUUACAGUAAUUGUUGAAUAAUUUUAUUAAAAUUUUUAAAGCUUAAAGAUAAUUUUUUAGAUUUAUUUUCACUUAUUUAGUUAGUUAAAAAGACAUUGAAUUUGUAGAGAAUACACGCUACCUUUUUAGUUUGAAUAACUCGUAUGCUAUUGAUAAAAGCCCAUUUCAGUAAAGAUAGUCUGCUAUUAAAAGGUGCCUAAUUUUCCAAAAAUAUAUGUGCACUACAUGCAUGCUUCACUGUGCCCCAUAUGGACCGCAAAUGAGCGCUAAACGAGCUCGAAGAUUUCAAGAGCAGCACGAUUUUUUGGGGGCAGCCUGAAGAAAGCCGACUUGGAGUUUUGAUUCCGCACUUUUUCGGGGCGGUCUUUCAAAGCCACCGCACGCACUUCAAUCCCCAUUCCCAUCCGCAUCCCCAUCCCCAUCCCCAUACCCAUUCCCCAAUGCCAAGCCCCAUCUUUUACCGCCCUGUUAUCUGGACAUCUUGUCGGCUCGGUGUCAACGUCAAUGACGACACCGAGGCAUUUGCUCCGAUCAAAUUAUGUUUCAUAAACGCUCGCAUUUAUGGCGAAUGACAAUGGCAAUGACAACAGCACAUCGCAGCAGCUUUAAAGCAAUGAUUUGUUACAAUUCUCAAGUUAUUUGAACUUUUUCGAGAUUCCUCUGGUCGAUGGCCCGCAAUCUGCGGCUCUUUGUUAGAGUUCGACUUUUUCCCGGAUUUCGUGCUAAAUGCCUAAUUAUUUUUUAUUUGUCAGGCAAUUGGUAUGAGGUGCCUUGGUGGUAAAAACUUAAAGAAAAACGGGUGAGGAUGUGUAAUCGAUGUGGUUGCAAGUCGCAGGUGAUCGAUUACUGUUGAAAGGACAAUGCCUCAAGCGAGAACAGUAAAAUAUUUUUCAACAAUUGAUCUUUUUUACAGAUACGUUCUUAUUAAACUUUUGCAGAGAUAUGAUCAAUUUGCCUAGAUAAUUUCCUCUUUAGUGACCAUAACUUCCUUUUUCCGACACGGAUUUCUUCUACAGCCAAAUAACUUGGUUUCUUUUGAAGACCACUUCUUUUACUAUUUUCUUCGCUGCAAAGAAGCUCUAAUGUUGAAUGGGUUCUAAGUCUUUAGGGCAAUUUUAUGAGGGUUUUCGUAGCCCCAACGGCUACCGAGAAUCGCUCAGUUCUUGCAGCUUCAAGUUUUGCUGCGUUCAAGUUGUACUUUUACGACUGAACAGAGUUGGUCGCUUGUAAAUUUGUAAUAAUUGCAGAUAUUUUAACUCCACUUGGGCUGGCUACGAUUUAUGGCCAGCUAAUUCGCUUUGCAUGUCAAUCGAACUGUACGAGCAGGCCAUUUAUGCUGGCCCAACCAGACGGACGGGACGACUCACCGUUCGCAUGAUUUUCUAAAAACUUUUAUUUUAUAUUAAAAUUUAACGAGACUGCCAUAAAUCUUUGCUAAAAAGCAGACAAUUCAAAUUUCGCAAGCUCCGCGCGCGAAAGGAGCAGGAUGGUCGACAGGGGCGGAGGCUGCAAAGGGGUUCGUUUGAAAGGACAGGUUGACGGAGAGACGACAGUGGCCACGUUAAACGUUUCGCCACUGAAAUUGAUCCAGUUGCAGUGGUCCGCGGAUGCCUUGCAUCGCUGGAAAUGUUUCCAUCAUUGGCCAGCAGUUUGAGAGGCAGAAGCCGAAGGGUUCGGGAGAGGAUUCUGGAGGCAGGAGCUGGGGGCACCCAUAAUUCUUGCACUAAAGGCCAGACAAAAAGCACUGAGCGAUGGCCAUGUCAGCAGCUACUGACUCCGAUCCGAUCCGGGCCCAGCUCGCACUCCAACUCGAACUCCAAAGGCGCAAUGUCCGGCCGAUUUAACCAAAUGGGCAUAUGGACAUCGGCUGGCAAACUGGCAAACUGGCAAAGUGGCAAACUGGUCAAGAGCGAGCCGCGUGCGUCGCCGGCCUGACAAUAGGCGAAAUAUCAUCGAAAACCAUAAAAAACUGACAGCACAAAAAGAGGUGUUGACACAUUGAUUUAUCUGGCAUGCUACUGGGCACAGCACAGAUGAGACCAGAGACCGGAGACCGGACCUUCUGACUUCGCCUUCUAUUUGGCUGACCGCGGAUGAGGAUAAACGGCGCGGCUCGUCCAGCGGUAACUGCUGUUUUGGAUGGAUGGAUUCAUAUGCGAAUGCUGAGGGGCUGCGACAGGAACAGGAACAGGAGCGGCAAAGGCGGCAACAAUAUCAUAACCAUAACAAUGAACACACUCAGAGAAAAAGAGCCAUCAAAUCAGGGGGUACAAAUGCUUUCAGAGUGGAUAUAGACAAACCAAAUCCAGUAAUAAUUUAAAAUUAACAAUAUUUUGAAUUUAUAUAAUGAUGUCAUUAACACGUUAAGAAAAUCCUAGCAAAUCCUAUUUUUAGACAAAUUAAAGUGAUGUACAUAUUUAA